rnacentral:rRNA from 1 species
CAAAGAACUUUGAAGAGAGAGUUCAAGAGGACGUGAAACCACAAGGGGCGAAACGAUUAGAGUUGACGAGACUGGCGGUGUUCAGUGCUGUCGAGGGCUCCGCCGUGCGAUCGAGCUCCCGUAAGGGGGUUCUCGUGUGGAUGGGUGAGAACUCGGCGGUGCGCAUUCACUGUCGGUAUACGCUGAGACGUUUGGUGUUCCCUUCUGAAGCGCGUAGUGAGGCCCACCUCGGUGGUCACCUACUGCGUGUGGAGGUUGAUGUGAGCGCUAAGCGGCUGGUUCGGGCCUCGCCUUUGCGCGGAGCUUACGGACGCUCGUUCGCGGCGUUGUUGAUGGCGUGCCAUCGGCGGCGUUCGUCGGGCUUGUGUACGUGAGCGCUGCUAACAGGCUUGCUCUCGGUGUGAAAGUCGACCACCUAAUCGACCCGUCUUGAAACACGGACCAAGAAGUCUAGCAUGAGCGCGAGUCAAUGGGCGUUAACCUAUUGGCGCAAUGAAAGUAAAGGCCGACUCGAUUGGCUGAUAUGUGAUCCGUGGCUACGGCCGCGGCGCAACAUAGCCCCAUGCCGACUGCUUGCAGUGGUGUGGAGGUAGAGCGUUCAUGCUGGGACCCGAAAGAUGGUGAACUAUGCCUGAGCAGGAUGAAGCCAGAGGAAACUCUGGUGGAAGUCCGAAGCGGUUCUGACGUGCAAAUCGAUCGUCUGACUUGGGUAUAGGGGCGAAAGACUAAUCGAACCAUC